UGGACUUUCAUGGGAAACCUUUCUUCUCUAUGGAAGGUGGAAUUUUGAAGGAUGGGCUCUUGCUCUCUUUCUCAAAGGCUUGGGACAGAUUGAAUGUUUCAAGUUUUGCGAGGAACAGAUGACAAAAAGAUUCAAGGGUCAGUGGAGUGGAUCGAAGUUUUGCUCCGUACCAAAUUGUCAUAACAAAAUUAAAAAUUAUGAAAAUAAUUAGCCUAUCUAUAGUGUUUAUAUAAUCUUAAAAAUAUUAAGAUUAGGAAUCCUAAACUAAUUAGGACUACACAAUCACAA
rnacentral:misc_RNA from 1 species